UCACACACUCUGCAAUGAUAUCUUCAGUGUCUAAAAGGUGAUAGGGGAGUACGAUAAAAUAUCCCAAUAAGCGAUAUUAUGAAAUUAUAGCAUAGUACAUGCAAUAUAUAGUUUCUUUACACAACAAAACAUAUAUCAUAUAAUCUUUUCAAAACAUAUACGAAUUAGAAUAUGAAUGCACAAAUCAGAAAACAGAUUCAUGUUGU
rnacentral:lncRNA from 1 species